rnacentral:rRNA from 1 species
AACGCACGCUAGGGUUACCGCGGCUGCUGGCACGGAGUUAGCCGGUGCUUCUUCUGCGAGUAACGUCACAGAUGUAAGGUAUUAACUUACACCCUUUCCUCCUCGCUGAAAGUGCUUUACAACCCGAAGGCCUUCUUCACACACGCGGCAUGGCUGCAUCAGGGUUUCCCCCAUUGUGCAAUAUUCCCCACUGCUGCCUCCCGUAGGAGUCUGGGCCGUGUCUCAGUCCCAGUGUGGCUGAUCAUCCUCUCAGACCAGCUAGGGAUCGUCGCCUAGGUGAGCCUUUACCUCACCUACUAGCUAAUCCCACCUGGGCUUAUCCAUCAGCGCAAGGCCCGAAGGUCCCCUGCUUUCCCCCGUAGGGCGUAUGCGGUAUUAGCAGUCGUUUCCAACUGUUAUCCCCACAAAUGGGCAAAUUCCCAGGCAUUACUCACCCGUCCGCCGCUCGUCAUCUUCAAAAGCAAGCUUUUGAAAUGUUACCGCUCGACUUGCAUGUGUUAGGCCUGCCGCCAGCGUUCAAU